rnacentral:piRNA from 1 species
UAGAGAAGCUGUGUUGUGUUGGUUAUC